UACGUAGGUGGCAAGCGUUAUCCGGAAUUAUUGGGCGUAAAGAGGGAGCAGGCGGCAGCAAAGGUCUGUGGUGAAAGACUGAAGCUUAACUUCAGUAAGCCAUAGAAACCGGGCAGCUAGAGUGCAGGAGAGGAUCGUGGAAUUCCAUGUGUAGCGGUGAAAUGCGUAGAUAUAUGGAAGAACACCAGUGGCGAAAGCGGCUCUCUGGUCUGUAACUGACGCUGAGGUUCGAAAGCGUGGGUAGCAAACAGG
rnacentral:rRNA from 1 species